GCAACCCGGGUACGGGAGAAGCAAAAGACAGUCCCGGCGGGACGGGAGUCCCAUCGCGCGAAGAAGCCCCAGAGGACUGCGGGGCUGGGACGUGGCGCCGGCGCGGCAAAGGGAGCGGAAGGGGCAGAGCCUUACCUGUCCAGAUGAUCAGCCCAGAAUCAGAUAACCUCUCCUGAGGGCCCAGAUGACUUUGAACCCUGUUACAAGUAAUUCAAAGGGCUUAGAGCCUAUUUCUUCCAAACAGCCUGGGCAGCCCUUGCAGGCCCAAGAAAAAGAGGAAAUGGACAAGUGCUUGCUGGGGAAGUCUCUCCCCUCUGGGCCAGCCUUUGCACAACUUCUGCCUCAGGAAUUCACCUCCAGGAAAGAAGGCUUAGCCAAGGCCUCAGCCACUGAACCUAAGAAGGGUAAAAGAAAAGCAUACUUGG